GUUUUUGUUUGCGCAGCAAACAUGUAGUCUCUGAAAUGACACUAUUCAGACAAAAUCUUUCAAACAGAUGAGCCAAUAUUUAUUCUUUCCAAUUUGUAACUCAGAGACAGCUGAGAGUAGACAGGAAACAGUGGGAAGAGAAAGUGGAAAGACAUGGAAACAUGACAGCUCAUCAUAUUUGAGCGCUAAACACCACACAAUACAUAUAUUCGCACACCUCAGAUCCAGGUGGAUUAUUUGGAUCUUGAAGUGACCAAUUGCGACCAUUUGGGUGGCAGCCCAGCCAUAGAUCUCCAGAUUCACGGUCCACCUCAAUGUUGUCACACAGUGACCCCACGUCAACCUCCUGGGUAAGAGAAAUUAACAAGCCAUUAUAUAAGCACUAGCAGGAAUAAUUGUUGUUAUUUUUAUUAAAAAAACUAACAAAAGCUAACACAUUAAAGCUUAAAUUCUAUACUUUAGCCUAUGAAAAAUGAUUCUGUAUGGGAUAAAAUAAUGAGUGAACAUUUCAUGUAGUUUGAUGUUUACCUUUAUAUGAGACAAUACAGUGUUUUUCUGUAUUUCCAAGACAACAAUUUUGUGCUUCAGAAGAUCUGACGCAUAUAAAUGCCUGAAAUGACAGCUUAAUUGUAUUGAUAACAUAUAAACAGGACAUGAUUGUGCAUUAAUGAUUGAUCAAAUUUAAUUGAUAUGAAAAUCUUUUUUUUUUCCCUGGAACUUGCCUUUUGUCAGGGGAGAUAUUUAUGCCGUUGGCGAGCAAGAAGCCCCCUGCCACAACCUGCACGGUCUGAGGGCUGUAGUAGACAACGUCACACCAGGGCAAAGACAGAAACGGCUCCACAAACUUGAGAAUCCCAUUAGUGAAGUAAUGAUCAUUGGUGGCAUAAAAGCUUUCAGUCCCCACAGCGACUAUAUCAUUCACACUAACAAAUGCAGAUAAAUAACUGGAAUUUAUACUUUAGGUCUAGGGUGUUAUAAAGCAUUAUUGUGGUUUAAUGGAGCACAUACUUGUGCAGGAGUUCAUGCUUGAUGGUCUUGAUGUACUGAAGAGCAUUUUCAUCCUCAACAAAACGAAAAAUCUCCACUUGACUGUUGCCUUGAGGAUGAUUAACAACAAAUAGGUAUACGGCACCAUCUGUAGUGAGAGAAGAAUUGAUACUUUUUUUUAGGUUAAUUCACAAUCGUCCACAAUAUAGUUUUAACACUACACAAUAACUACUUCUUGUGUGUGUAGGUAUUUUAAAUUGUAAUAUCAAUGCAAGUAUAUAAAACUCAAUAAAGAAGAAAACUUU